rnacentral:rRNA from 1 species
UACGUAGGGUGCGAGCGUUGUCCGGAAUUAUUGGGCGUAAAGGGCUCGUAGGCGGUUUGUCGCGUCGGGAGUGAAAACCUCGGCUUAACUCGGGGCUUGCUUUCGAUACGGGCAGACUGGAGGUAUGCAGGGGGAGAACGGAAUUCCUGGUGUAGCGGUGAAAAUGCGCAGAUAUCAGGAGGAACACCGGUGGCGAAGGCGGUUCUCCUGGGCGAUGACCUGACGCUGAGGAGCGAAAGUGUGGGGGAGCGAACAGG